rnacentral:rRNA from 1 species
AGGGCGCUUACCACUUUGUGAUUCAUGACUGGGGUGAAGUCGUAACAAGGUAACCGUAGGGGAACCUGCGGUUGGAUCACCUCCUUAUCUUAAAGAAGC